rnacentral:lncRNA from 1 species
AUGUGUAUUCCUUGUAUAUCUCUAGUCUAUAGGGAAUGGUUGCCCCAGGAAGAGUUUGAAAAGAGAUUGUCCAAGUCCCGUGCGAGUAGGGUGUUUCAGCAAUUAAGGAAGAAGAGCAGCUCAAUUACCAGAUCAUCAGAAUCUUUCUCCUCCAUGCGGUCAAGUAGAAAAAGCAUCAGUGAAAGAAUAGCUGAGGAAACUUUUGACCUAGCCCAACGGCAAAGCUCUAAAAGUAAAAAGUCUUUGGAAAGAGUUGAUAUGGGUGUCCCCGAAUCCCUACGAUCAAGCUCAAGGUCAAGCAUAAGUUUCAGAAAACUUUCAGGUCCAACAGAGAUUUCUAAGGGGGAGGUUACCCCACCCAAAGCCAUCCUAGCCUCUAAGGGGGUAGUUACCUCAUCUAAAGCCAUCCAAACCUCUAGGGGGGACAUUACCUCAUCUAAAGCCAUCCCAGCCUUCAGAAAAUUGUUCCAUGAGCCUGAUAUGUCUGCUGUCUCAGAGGCCCAGCAAAAGAUGCUAAAGGUGGAUGAAAGUAAAUCUCAGGAAGAACCUGAUAAAUAUGAAAUAUGUUUCCCUGGAACCCAACCAUGUGGCAGUGUUAGUUCUCUCAGAAAAAUUUUGAACAUAGAAGAAAUUCCUGUUGUGAGGAAGAGUUCAAGCUUGCAGAAAUCUGCAAAAGAAGCUGAAAAGAAAUAUGCUGUUUCUGUCACGGACCUCCAACCACAAAGUGUCAAGAGUCAUCUAAUCUAUAGAAAACCAUUGAGUGAAAUUCAUGUUGAGAAGUCUUUUGAGAGCUCUUCUAUGAGUGGGCUUUCUCUAGAAAAAGCAGAAGACAUUUCAGAAGAGGGCAGAGAGGUGCAGCCAGAAACAUUUGGUGCCCUACAACGUUCCAUUACAUAUAUCAACAAAAUCAGAAAGGAUGAAGUUCCUGUUAAUGAACUCCCGACCAUAUUGAAGAUACUUGGCAUAGAGUUAUCUGAUGAAGAGUUCCAGGAUGUGCUGCAAAUGACUCCUCCCAAUGGUAAGACUUGGUAG